rnacentral:rRNA from 2 species
ACAUCCGUAGCUUGCUUUGUAAGUCUUUUGUGAAAUCUUCUAUCUUAAGUAGAGGGCGUGCAAGAGAUACUGCAAAGCUAGAGACUGGGAGACGUAAGGAGUACAGAAGGUGUACCGGUAAAAUGGGUUGAUCCUUUCUGGACUAAUGUGGCUAAAAGCACCUUAUGAAACACGAUCUGCAGUAAGGGAUGAGGGAUAAGGUAGACACCCAAUUUAUACCCGGGUAGUCCCGCAUGUAAACACUGCGAACACGAUGAUUCAUUGUCUUAUGGACAGCUCAGAGUGGAAGGGAAUCCACGAAUAUUGCCGCCCGUGGGAUAUGGCGUCACUCACCUAAUGUAGGAAUUUGCGGGAAUGCAUAAUCAGCAC